GUUAAAGCAGGGGCGGUUAUUGGAUUUCAAAAUUGAAAAUCCUGGGCUAGCCUCCCCUCAAUUCAGACGUAUCAUGCCUUGGGGGGUCAACUAGACAUUGCCCAGGAUUGUGGCCCUCCACAUUACUUAGCUUAGUAUUCAUUGCCAGAUUUCUCGCACCAACCUUUUGACCAUCAAGAUCUGACUUGCCAACUGUGAAUUUGAACUCUUUGUUCGUCAAUUCCGCAUGCUUUUAGAUGAAAUGUUUCCUUCAAUGUUGGCCCACGUAGGGCCUCCCCACUCGGUUUCUGCAACAAAGCUGUAGCAUCACCAUUAUUGUGAUUUCCAUCAGACUUUUCGCCAGGAAGCUCGCCCUUUUCAGUACCGUCGUUUGAUGUCGGAUUCGUUCCCUUCACCCCAUGUAUCUCUUGUCUCGUGGCUUGUAAAUUCGUUGGCUCUGGAUUUGUGAAACGCACCGGCGUGACCCCAACCUGGCCAGCACCACCAUCCACUCCCUUCUGCCCUCCCUGAUCAUCGCUAUGGUUGGUCUCCCUAUAACUGAAAGGACCCACUGCAGAGUCAUGACGUCUCUUCCCUCCAAGAUUUGCACGUAACCAGGACCCAAAUUGAGAAGUUAUCUCCCUUGUUUGGCUUGGACAUUUCUAUGCACUAUGCAAGAUUCUGCCACAAUGAAAGCAGAAAUGUGGAAGUUUUUCAUAUUUAAUGGGGAUCCAAUGCUUCACCCUCUGCAAUGUAAUGGUUUUCCCACGAGCUAAAAGUUAAAAUAGAUCCAACUUGAUCUUCACUCUAAAAAAAUAGCCCCACCCUACCUCAUCUUCCUCUACAUCCACAUCUUCAUCAACUCCCAUUGUAGGGCCUAGAUGAACACCACACUCCCGAUUCAUUCCCAACAGGGGCAUGUUAUGAAAUUGAAUCCAAAAAGAAGCAGAUUCAAAUUUCAUUUUGCUUGGCUGAAUAAAACCUUGAAACUCAUCAAUCACCAAUAAACUCCCAUCAAAGGACCACGGUCUCCCAUCAAGAAUUCUAUGUUUGUCAGCAUGAGUUUCAGAAGUAAGGAUGAACACAUUUGCACACACCUCCUUAAACUUAGCAGGUUUGCUGAGUCUCCAUAUUUUUGCCAUCAUCGCCUCCACCACUUUGCUACUAAGAUGGCGAUCUGAACAGAUCUUGCCAAUUAGACAACGCUCACCUUUCUUCUGAGCUUCUGAUAUUGCACCAUCCUCUAAAAUAAUUUCACCUCCCUCUUCUUCACUCAAACGUAGAUUCCCCCACAUCUCCUGCAUACUUUCCAUCUCAAUCAAUAAGCUCACUCACAAUCCACAGCUGCUGCCGGUACAAGCACUAGUAGGGAAUAGGGCACACCACCUCAAUUCUUCUCUAGAGAGAAAAAAAACGAGAGGGCGGACUUCGCCAAUCCACUUCGGCAUUUCUUACAAAUUAGUACUUCUGCUUAACUGAAGAUGUGCUCCAUACAGAAUUUAUUGCCCCAAAAUCCAGAUAGAUCUGUUUUGAUAUGAGAUUGCAUUCAUCUUAUUUAUCUGACCUCUUCAAUACACCCAGAAUAGAUUGCGCAUCGCAGUCCUCAGUGAAGUGAAGAGCCUCCACACAACAGUGAACAUUGGCAUCCAGAGUUUUUAGAACGCCAACAUUUACAAUGGAAAUUAGCAUUGCUGAGAAAGGAGAAACCAGUCGUGCCAAUGACCAGAAGCCGAUAAGCGAGUUCACCCAGAAGAAACUUGACAUCAUCGACGAGCAGGUAACGAAAUAUUUGGAAGAAGCCAAAAAGUUAAAAGAAAAAGCCCACCGUAGAAACGCUAGCUACAUCUACAGAGUCCUCUCGAGGCUUAAGGACAUACAUCAAUGGAAACUCGUUAUACGAGUCCAACAUGGUCUCCAUCGGGCCCUACUACUACAAACAACGUAAAGAAAAGUUCCAGAUGGCCGAAGAUUGCAAGAGGAAGUACUUCGGCUCGUUGUUGGCCAAGAAAAUAUUAGAUAAAGACAAGUAAAUUGAUAUCUGUAAGUGCUGGUUGCAAAAAAUAGACCAACUUGAAGAGGAGAUUAGAAAGUGUUAUUCUGAAGAGUUUGAUGUCGACGGUAUUGCAUUUCUCGAAAUGAUGGUUGUUGAUGCUUGUUUUAUAAAAGAAAUCAUUGAAAUGUUUGCAUUCACGUUGAAAGGAGUCCACUCCAGUGAAUCUGAUCUUGAAGCCUUGGCGUGGAUGGUACUGUAUUUCUACAGGGACUUUCUUCUGCUUGUGAAUCAGAUCCAUUUUCUCGUUCUGGAAGAGAUAUAUGCGCUUACCCUUGAGAAUUCUGUCGAGGUGAAAAGUAGAUCCCGGUUGGUGCGUGCUGCUUUGGGAUUCUUUAAGAACGGAAUGAAAAAAUCCGGUUUUACUAUUAUUUUCGGUUUUAUUCAUGGUAACUUGGAUCAAAUGGAUACGGUGGUCCUGCAUUUGCUGGACUUGGUUCGGAGUAGUUUAAUACCUGCAUCCAAUAUCCAACAGAGACAAGCAGGAUUCUUAGUAUAUGCUCCAUUCAUGUAAGGCCCAGUUUCUUCAUCAAAGUGGCCCGGACCCUGCGUGAAAAUGGCCCAGCCAUUUUAGUGCUUAGUAAGACCACCGAGCGGCGUCGUUUUGGGAGCAGAGCAAGGGGUUCCCUCUCGCAUCUCUCCAGCUUUUCCGUUGGUUCUCUUCCUCUUGUUCGAGUUUUCGUCUUCAUGUAAAUCUCUCUCUUUUCCCUCAAGUCGAUUUUUUUUCUCUCCUCUUAGUUGUUUUCGGGUUUCAUGCGAUUUCCGACUCUGAAUGUUCAUAGAUUGUGCUGCUGCGUUCUUCCCCACUCCGAAACCCCACUUGACGCUCAUUCUCUUACAGUCCAGUUGGUUUCACUUCUGUCCGCUCAGUGUUUAAUCUCUUUGCUGUGGUUUGACGUUGGACUCUGUUGAACGGGUGACGAGACUAAUAGAGGUCAUUUUCAAGUCUUAGAUAAUACGCUACAAGAGUCAGGUGGUUUUGAUGUGUUGUGUAGUGGAGGAAAAGCUGCUAAAAGUUUGCACAUUGGAGGAAACAAGACAUUGCUCCUACUUAGAUUAGAAUCUUGGAUUUUAGAAUGAAUAUUAUGAAACUACUUAGGUUGUAAUAAGCUUCUUUGUAAUGUUGUAUCCAAUUGGAAUGAAUAUUAUGACUCAAUAUUUUACUAGAUGACUUAAUCCAAGGAUGAUUAUUUGAUGGCAAUGUGAAUGCGUCAUGUUCUAAUAUUGAGAACAGUCGGUGUGGCUGCUUGUGUAGAUGUUGUUGUGCCUAGCUGUGUAUAUAAAUGUUGUGGAUUGCGUCUUGGUGUAUGUGUAUAAAUGGUUUUGUGUUCAGUUGUGGAGGGAGUUUUGUGUAUAUAAUCAUUGUGGAUCAUGUUCAAGUUUGUGUAUAGAUGGUUUUGUUUCCAAUUGUGUAUGGAUUUUGUGUAUAGGCGGGUUGUAGAGACUGUGUUGUG